CUGUUUCUGUCCUAUCAGAAUGCCCUUUUCUCAAUCCUCCUUGCGAUUGGUUACUUUUAGAAUCUUGCUGAUUGGUCCAUUUUCCAGAGUGCUGAUUGGUCCAUUUUACAGAGCGUUGAUUGGUGCAUUUUACAAACCUCUUGCUAGCUACAGAGCACUGACUGGUGCGUUUUACAAUCCUAGCUACAGAGCGCUGAUUGGUGCGUUUUACAAUCCUCUUGUAAGACAGAAAAGUUCUCCAAGUCCCCACUGGACCCAGGAAGUCCAGCUGGCUUCACCUCUCAGUGCUAAUUAGUCAACCACAGAAGUCUGAUAUUGUAGUAUUAGCACAGACUGUUCAGUUUUAACACACAGUAAAUUAUUUUCUUCCUCCAGAGAAUUUUAUUGUGUAUAAUGUCACAUAUGUUAUUUAUAAAUAAUCCUGUGGACAGACAACUACAAAUGACCUAUACAGAGAAGAAAAACUAUUGGGAGAUAUUCAAGAACUAGAAAAUAUGUCUGGUAGUUUUCCUGUGUUUAUGGAUUUGGACCAGAAUAAUGCUAAUGGGCUGACUACUCAACAAAGGACAAGAUAAAUCAGUGUACAUGUGGAUUCAAGAGUGUUCUAUACUAAGAGAGUGCUGUAGAAGUCCCCAUGGAAUGUUACUAGAUUCCUGGGAUGAUGAUACUGAAUAGUCUGGAAUGUGGCAUUCUUUGUCUCAAAGAGAGUCUUUAAAAAAAUCUGUGUUCUGAUGGUAGAGUUCCAAUUUUGGCAUUUUGCCUUCUGUGAUAAUAGAUAGACUUUGACUCUAGGUAAAUUUGUGGUGGAGCAAAAGUUCGUUUGGGGUUGUUCCACUUACCCCUUACUCUUUGCCCUCCCUAGUCAUGUUUGUCCUCUUUUCUUUCUUUAUAGGCAAUGGCCUGAUACUCAUAGUCAGGAAUAAAUAAAUAGUUAUGGUUUAAAAUAUUAUUCUUGAGAGUAUUUUCAUCUUUGUCUGGGAACAAACAUGCUUAUUUGUACUUGAGUUCUUGUCCUUCUACCAUCAUCACUGGAAAAACAUCUCUGGGUAGUCACUGCCUCCCCAAACUGGACUCAGGAUGGAACUUUUGAAGCAGUGUUACCUACCCCAAACAACUCAAACCCAUAAGUAUGAGAAUAAAUGAUUAUUUUAAGCCACUGAGUUUUGGGGGUGGUUUCUUAUGCAGCAUUAUUGGCAAUAGCUGACUGAUACUCUCUACAUCUUUAAAAUUCAUUUCACUGUGCAACUUCUGAUGGGUAAUGCUUGCUCUGAUUAUAGAAGUAGGGCAACCCUCUUUCCCCAAACACCUACUAGGGUUAAAGUUCAGAUGAUAGUAGAUGUACCCCUAUCGAUUCUUUUAAAGUAGCUUGACUUUUUCUGCUAGUGUUGUCUUGAGUGGGUUAGUUAAUCCCCAUACAUUAUUUCUACACAUUACAGGUUUUACUGGUUUUAAUAGUACUCUGGAAGGUGGCUUGAGGUGGAGGAGUGAUAUGGUUUGGGUCUGUGUCCCCACCCAAAUCUCAUGUUGAAUUGUAAUUCCUGAUGUUGGGGAAGGGACAUGGAGGGAGGUGAUUGGAUCAUGGGGGAAUGGUUUCCCCUAUGCUGUUCUUGUGAUAGUAAGUGAGUUCUCAUGAGAUCUGACGGUUUUAUAAGUGUUUGGCUCCUCCCCCACCCCAUUCUGCCACCAUGUAAAGAAGGUGCUUGCUUUCCCUUCGUCUUCUGCCAUGAUUGUAAAUUUCCUGAGGCCUUCCAGUCAUGCUUCCUGUUAAGCCUGUGAAACUAUGAGUCAAUUAAACUUCUUUUCUUCAUAAAUUACCCAGUCUCAGAUUUCUUUAUAGCAGUGUGAAAACGGACUAAUAUACAAGGAGGGAUUGGGGAGGCUAAGAAGACAUAACUCCAAGUGUUCUUAGUCUUACUUCAGGCUGGGCCGCCUCUUAUUUCAGAUAUUGGCUUGUGGC
rnacentral:lncRNA from 10 species